AUUGAACGCUGGCGGCAUGCCUUACACAUGCAAGUCGAACGGUAACAGGUCUUCGGAUGCUGACGAGUGGCGAACGGGUGAGUAAUACAUCGGAACGUGCCCGAUCGUGGGGGAUAACGCAGCGAAAGCUGUGCUAAUACCGCAUCCGAUCUACGGCUGAAAGCGGGGAUCUUCGGACCUCGCGCGGACGGAGCGGCCGAUGGCAGAUUAGGUAGUUGGUGGGGUAAAAGCUUACCAAGCCGACGAUCUGUAGCUGGUCUGACAGGACGACCAGACACAAUGGGACUGAGACACUGCCCAGACCCCUACGGGAGGCAGGAGUGGGGAAUUUUGGACAAUGGGCGCAAGCCUGAUCCAGCAAGGCGGCGUGCAGGAUGAAGGCCUUCGGGUUGUAAAGCUCUGUUGUAAGGGAAGAACAUUCAGGAUAGGAAAUGAUCAUGAACUGACGGUACCUUACCAGAAAGCCACGGCUAACUACGUGCCAGCCGCCGCGGUAAUAC
rnacentral:rRNA from 1 species